AGAAAUUUCCAGAUGUACCAAUAAAAUUUAUCAGGGCAGCACUCGGAAAAAUUAAAUGAUGAGCACAAGUUACGAGUAAGGGAAAUGGAGUAAAUGCAGCCUGCUGUGAAUUGGAUUCUGCUUUGGUCUACUUUUUUCUUUUUUUCUCUUUUUUUUUUUUUUUUUACAAUUUUAAUAAAAAAUUGUGAAAAUA